AAAUAACAAGAGAUAUACAAAUAAAAUUUUAUAAAAAUGGUCUUAAUGUUGAGUAACGAUUUUAAUAGCAUUGUGUUUAAAAUUUAGUCUCCUAAUUCUUCCACUAAAAAAAAAUCUACUAUCUUUGGUGUUUCCUCACCGGCUUAUCUCCUCCAUUCAAGCGUCCAGGCGGCUGCCGCUGUCAUUCCGAUGAGGUCCAUCGCUACGGCACAUGCGUCCUCUCUGUUGCUUAAUUUGACCAAGGAGAAAUCGAAUUUUUGGUACACUAAGGGGGUUUGGGAUUGACGAGUUCCCUUUUGAUGUUGGCGCAGUCGAAGCACUGCAAAAUCCACUGCCGUGGACUCCAAAUCCUUCACCUGCACCUUUGCAAUCCCUCACCGGCGUAGUUACUUCACAAUCCCUCAUUAACAAAUUGUUAGGGUUUUUGGUUGUGCGAGUGAGAGUGAGAGAGAACAAUUGAAGGCAUAACAAAGGGAGUGAACAACAUCAGCAUCUCUGAUUCAUAUAAGAAGAAUCACAUUCAGGUCUCUAACACCAAGAAGCCCCUCUUCUUCUAUGUUAAUCUAGCCAAGGUAUCACCACUCUAUUUUCAGGUUUCGAAGCUCGCGAGAGUUUUUUUCCUUCGAUGUUUGAUUUUGUUGAUUCUGCAUAGAUAUAUGCAACAACAUGAUGAGGUCGAGCACUCAGCUUUAGGAAUGGGUAUUGAAAUGAAUUUGUUAUUGGUAUUAUAAAAUUAAUACUCUUAUAUAUCAACAAAGGGUGUUGCUAGGUGCACCCAGCGUUAUUGUUGGUGCAUCCAGCAUCACUUAAAAAUGUUAGAAAUGUUUCUCUAAUGUUUCGAUAUGCGGAUCAAGUUGAUCCGUAGAAAACUUACGGAUUAACUUGAUCUGCGAAAGUCUCCUGCGGAUCAAGUUAAUCCGUGUAAGUCUCGCGGACCAAAUGCGGAUCAACUUGAUUCGCGAGUCUUACACGGAUCAACUUGAUCCACAAGUUUUUCACAGAUCAACUUGAUAUGUAGGAGACUGAAUUUUUUUAAAAAGUUUAAUUUUAUUGAAACCUAAUUUUAAAUGACAUUUGUAAUAUUAGUUUAACAUUUGUAAUUUACUUACUUCCUUUUAUAAUAUGUCGAUGAAUUUCAAAUGAAUUUGGUAUGAAUUUCGGAUCAAGUAAUUUAAACAUAAUUAACAAAAUAACACUAAUAUUAUAAACUAAUAUUAUUAAUCAAAAUAACUUAAAAUAUACAAAAUGUUAAGUCAAAUACAUCGUCAAAAACUAAUGAUAUCUAAAGUGUGAAUAAACUAUUGUUGAUUUGUGCGCCGCCUACGUCAAGACCUCACAUAUACAUUGUCGUCUUCUGUGACACCCUUGGUAAUCCUGAGGCAUUUUAGAAUGACAUCAUGUGUCGAUGUGCCUGAUGUGACUUCAUUUAGGAUGAGAUGACGCUCCAACGUGUCAGCGAUUGCAUGGCAAGCCUCCUGUUAAAUAAAAAAACAAACGAAUUAUAUAAAUUAGUAUUAAAAUAAUUGAAGUAAAUGACAUACAUCUAACAAAAUAGUAACACUUACCAUUGCAUGUCUAAGCUCGUCUGCAUCAGGAUCCACAUGUGUCGAUGUCGGUGCUACCUCAUGAGGGAUAUGACUUGGCUGCGUUGUAUAUGCAUCUCGAGGAGGAUCCGUUUGUGGCGCAAUCAUGAAUGGAUGAGAUAUGAAGAAGAACUAGUCUAUGUAGUUAGACGCACAUUGACUUGGCACAACACAUAGAUCACCUGCUGCCACCAGAUGGUCUGAGUAGUGUGUCUAUGUAUCAUCUACGUCAUCAUAUGACACCCAUGAAUGGACACAAGAAUGCACUGGACAUAGCCGAACUGGUGCAUAACCCUCUCUGGUCUGUAUCUGACAACAACAGGCCCCUAGCAAAGCUGUCCUGAGAAGCACGAAAUCAGAUGAAAGUCCUGCACAGGUCGGUGCUUCGUACAUGGCAUACAACAAACAUCUGAGAUCCUCAGACGAUCUAAGCGUUACCUGUACGUCGUUGUAGAUACCUUCUCCACAAUCUUCUUUGUCGCAAUCCACCAACACGCACGUGGUGACACCUCGUCGUAGUUCGGAUCAGCAUUGCACUCCGCAAUUGACGAAAAGUGCUUGUAUAUCCAACACUACAGGAUUUACACGAAAGUCAUACAUGUUAAUUAAAUAUACCCUCAUUAAAACAUUUUUGUAAUUAAAUUAUGAAAUACAUGUUAAUUACCUAUAACAACGUGAUGUAACUAACAAGCUGUCGGUUGGUGCUGAUACUGGCAUCAUUAAGCUAAUUGUACAUAUGGAUGAGGCCAGCAGCUCCCCAUGCAUACCUCCCAGCAAGAGUGAGGCCACACAGGGUGUGUAAGUAGACAACAUGAACAUGGGUUGCACUCUUAUUAGAAAAAAGAGUGCAACCCAAAAGAUGCAGAAGAUAAGCGCGAGCGGCAGUUGUCUAGUGUUGUGUUUGACAUCUGUGCUGGUAUAUGUCUUGUAGCCACUGCAGGCGCACGUAUGGUCCACCACAUUGGCCUAUCUCGGCCAUGGCCACCUCUGGUGAGACCAUCAGUAACGCAACCAACAACAGCACCGCCUCGUCGCUGCGCAGAGGCUAGAAGUCAUGGAAUGUGCCAACGAUCAACAGAUGGAGAAGAGACACGAUGUCGUCCAGCAUGAUCGAAACCUCCCCCACAAAGGAGGAUAUAAGUCCAUGAUCGCCGGUGUCUAUCGAACAUGCGAUCAAAGGACUUAAUCCUGUCCCAGCAACCAUGUCCUCAAUUGCAGGAACAAGCCUGCCUAAGUUAUGCACCUUCCUUCCAUGAGAGGAUAACUUCAACUCAGGAUGUUCCUGAAUUGAAGUACAAAGGAACACACAAUUUGUUCAAAUAACGUCAAUCAAUAACCAAAAACUCAAUAAAAAAGAAUACUUAACAGACUUAAAUAUUAUAAAUGCCUGUCCAUACCAUACGCUGGCCGCAACAUGGUCAGCAUACUCCAUAAGCACUGAUGGGUCCCUGGUUCCACCAGGAAAUCCCUCAGGCUCAUCUACAGCAUCCUAUGCACCGGUAUCCUGUGCGUCAGUCUCUGCAUCGAUGUCCUGUGUGGCAACAUCUACCAUGGGCUCAUCCCCAACUACAGCAGCCUCUGCCUCUAGUACAGCAGGCGAGUCUACAGGUAUCGCAGGCACAUCAUCGUCAACAAUGACAAGUAGAUGUCGCUUGCGUGCCGAUGCGGUCAGCCUUCGGUGCUGGGGAGCACCGUCAGAAUCAUCACCAUCCCCUCUCCCUAGACCUCUGGCAACAAUCCUACCUAACGCACGGCCUAAUCCUCUAGUCUUAACCAUGAUAUGCAAAUGUUUACCACAAAUUCCAUCACUAAACCACACAAAUUCCAAUCAAUCCUUUUAUGUGUGUAUGGUUUUCGGAAUUUCAUUUGGCUUGGUUUCGAGAAAUUUGGUGUUUUGUGUUUGGGUUUGGACUAUUGCUGUUAUGCUGAAACUUCUUUAGAUACUUAAUGUUUGUUUUUAGCCUAAUCAGCCAAUUAAUUGCAUGAUUCUAAUUAUUCAAUUGUAAUUAGAAAAUUUUGUUAAAUUACGAGUUGAAGAAUACAGCUAAAGAGGAUUGGUCAUCAAUAAAACCUUUCUUUUUAAUACAAGUAUCUUGAUUACACUAAUUCAUGAGUUUGAUAGUGGCCGUAAAGAGGAUUGUUCUAUUAACUUUGCAACCAUAAAGGAACUUAAUUGAGUAAAAGCUCAUUCAACCCUCUAUUGUUGCUUUGGUUAUUCUCUUCCCUUUGUUCAAUAAAUAGCACUAGCAGUGUUAUAAGCUUGAGAAUUAGCAAAAGGGUUGUGAUUAAUCAGGAAAAGCUUUUGCUUGGGAGAAAGAAGGAAAACCUUGAAAGAUGUCGUAGGCUAUAGUGAACUUCAUAGUGCAAAGUCUUGGUGAUUUGCUCAUUCAAGAAGGAAUGUUCCUUUAUGGGGCGGAAGACAAAGUGUUGCAACUGCAAACUGAAUUGAGGAUGAUGAGGUCUUACUUGCAAGUUGCAGAUAGAAAGCAAGAUGGUAAUGAAAGCCUAAGGAAUUGGAUUUCAGAAAUAAGAGAAGCUACUUAUGAUUCUGAUGAUGUCAUUGAGUCAUAUUCCCUCAGAGGAGCUUGGGACGACUCGGGAAGAGUUUGUUGCUGAAAGGACAUGUGGUUUUUGUGGUCUUAGCGCUUACCUCUUUGUGGUUUUUCUGGGAAGACCGUUGCGAACUAGGGAAAGUGGAAAACAGGUUCCGGAAAAUGAUGAACCUCGCUUCAAUUGGAGCAUUUGCCUUGAUGGCCUUGAGUUUGUUGCGGCAACUUCAAAUUGGAUUCGAUGUUGGCGUCACUAACUUCUUGGUUGGAUGCUUCUUGGUGACGUUGAUGAAGAUGAACCUUAAGUUAGCUCCACUUGCGGCAUAGUUCUGUUAUUUGCUUGUCAACAACCGUUCCAUUUCUGAUUCCCUGCUUAAAUUGCGUGCAUGUGCUGCCACACAACAUGUAGCAGAUGAUCAUGAAGAGGAGCCAAGUUUGAAAGAUAUUGAAUUAGGGGAUUCGAAAAGAGCAGUUAUCAGCCGCAGAUCUCGCGAGAUCCUUGAUCUAAAGAAGUAUUGGUGUAAUGAAAUUCGUAGUAUUUUUUCUCCAAAGAAUAUAGCGAAAUCUAAAGAAGUGCUUUUUCUAAAGACGUGUGGAUGUGAAGUCCUGAAAUUUUUUCUUCGGAAGUUCAAAGAUGAUAUGGAUGAGGCAAGUUCGUCAAACCUUGAAGCAAAUUUAGAUGUAUUAAUUGAACAUGAGGCAAAUUCUAAUGUCCCUGGACGUGAUAGAGAUGAGUCAAGUUCUUCGGAGCCUGAAGUCUUAAAAGAUGGGAAAAGGUAUUUAACGAUGAUUAAAAAACGCAUUGGACGAGUCGUAAAAAAGUCUAACUUUCUACGACGGUAACCGUCGUAAAAUAGUUAAACUUUCUUCAACAGUUAUUAGCUAACGAUUGUUUUAGAACAUUUUCUAAGGCGGUUAUUAGCUGGGACCAUCUUAGAAAGUAUUAAAGUCGUAACUAAUAAUGAAUACUAUAUUUUUAAGAGAAUGUAAUAAUGCCACUUCUUUUUUUUUUUUUCAUUUUCUAGCAUUACCCUGCCCCAAUCCUAGUGACAAGGAUACGUAGAAGCAUAUACCAAAUGAUGUUAGAGUGCACAAAUAAAAUAAUGCUUGCUUAUCUAAAAUAAAA